AUUCAUAUCACAUUGAAAUACCGGUUUCCAUACGAUCACGGAAGUUAAGCAACGUCGAGCCUGGUCAGUACUUUGAUGGAAGACCGCUUGGGAAUGCCAGAUGCUGUAC